rnacentral:rRNA from 1 species
CCCUUUGGGUGUGACUGCGUACCUUUUGUAUAAUGGGUCAGCGACUUAUAUUCUGUAGCAAGGUUAACCGAAUAGGGGAGCCGGAGGGAAACCGAGUCUUAACCGGGCGUUAAGUUGCAGGGUAUAGACCCGAAACCCGGUGAUCUAGCCAUGGGCAGGUUGAAGGUUGGGUAACACUAACUGGAGGACCGAACCGACUAAUGUUGAAAAAUUAGCGGAUGACCUGUGGCUGGGGGUGAAAGGCCAAUCAAACCGGGAGAUAGCUGGUUCUCCCCGAAAGCUAUUUAGGUAGCGCCUCGUGAAUUCAUCUCCGGGGGUAGAGCACUGUUUCGGCUAGGGGGCCAUCCCGGCUUACCAACCCGAUGCAAACUGCGAAUACCGGAGAAUGUUAUCACGGGAGACACACGGCGGGUGCUAACGUCCGUCGUGAAGAGGGAAACAACCCAGACCGCCAGCUAAGGUCCCAAAGUCAUGGUUAAGUGGGAAACGAUGUGGGAAGGCCCAGACAGCCAGGAUGUUGGCUUAGAAGCAGCCAUCAUUUAAAGAAAGCGUAAUAGCUCACUGGUCGAGUCGGCCUGCGCGGAAGAUGUAACGGGGCUAAACCAUGCACCGAAGCUGCGGCAGCGACACUGUGUGUUGUUGGGUAGGGGAGCGUUCUGUAAGCCUGUGAAGGUGUGUCGUGA